UUUAUAGGGACAUUUAAACAUUUAACAUUAGAUUAGAAAUUAGAAGGAAAAAGUUCGAGGAAGGAGUUGAAGCCGUGAUCGAUUUUCCCGCCUUCUUCAAUCACAAUCAUUUCCUCCGUUUCUCUUCAAUCAACAGCACCUCAUCCCAAUCCUUUGCCUCCAACUCUCUUGUUCCCGCCCUUUUCGUCAUCCACGACUCCGGGCCGAUCAUCUUCCCUACGGUUGAGAUUUCGACACCCGUACUACCACUGGAAGGUUCUGUAAUGGAAGAAUUCCCGUCGAUUUUCUUGCCCUACGUCUUGGACUUCCGUUUGUUCUGAGUUAUCUUGGGCACGUUGGAGCAGUGGAAGAUAUGAUUCAAGGAGUGAAUUACGCAUCGGCUAGUGCUGGAAUUAUCCAAUUCAGUCCUUUACAUAUCAAUUGGAAUUAACGAUUACAUUCAUUACUAUCUUUUUAAUAUAUCCAAUGUUCAAAAUCUUUACCCUCCAUGGAAUUUUAACCAAUUUCUUGCAGCCACAAUCAGACAGGAAAUCAAGGUGAUUUUAUUGUUUAUAGUUUUUGCUAUGCUACAUAAUGGAAAAAAGUAUAUGCAUACAUUACCCAUUAUGCAAUCUCUUUGCCUUCGGGAUAUUGUUGUUUUGCACAUAUUUUCAUUUUCCAAAGUUUGAGCUUUUGGAUUAUUUUAGAUAUUGGAAACUAACCAUGCAUUAUAUUGUAAGCCCUGCAUAGAAGUUUCGUUUAUUUCCACUGUACUAAUUUACCAAUUGUUCAAGUACUUCCUAAAAGGCUUUGUGUUGAUGGUCCAGAAUUUGUAUUACAUGAAUGCUAGGAGAACCGUUGUAAUGGGAUUGGCACCUAUUGGUUGUGCUCCUUUCUACCUAUGACAGUACCGUGAUGAGAAUGCUGCGUGUACUGAGGAUAUAAAUGAUAUGGUUAUAGAGUUCAACUUUUCCAUGAGAUACACGGUCAAGGAGCUCGGCACGGAGCUGCACCAUUCGAGUAUAAUCUUAUGUGAUUUGCUUCGAGUUUCAAUGGAUAUCUUGAAGGAUCAUAUUUGUGUUCUUCAAGGUUCAAUGGACUAGAAUCGGACAUCUUCAUGUCGAGCUCUUCGACGAUGUAUCUCAUGUCAAUGUGUCCAAUUGGAUAAUCGUAUUGUUUAUCUCUUCAAUACACGCUCCAUUCUCACUACGGUGCUGCCAUAAGUAGAGUGGUGCACAAUGAAUAGGUACCAAUCCUAUUACGACAAUUCUCCUAGCAUUCACGUUAGACAAAAUUCUAGAUCACUGAUACAAAGUCUCUUGAGAAGUUUUUUGACAAAUUGAUAAAAGUAACAUGGUGGGAAUAAAUGAAAUUUGUAUGCAAGGUUUACACAGUUGGGUUAAUUUUCAAUAUUUGAAAUGAUCCAAAGCUCAAAAUUUGUGAGUUAGCCCCUUCUUUUCCAUCUAGGUUUCAAUGUAACUUCGAAUGCUUGUUGUGGGUUUGGUCGUUACAAUGGUUGAAUCAUGUGCAUCUCACCAAUUGUGACUUGUAAAAAUGCUUCUAAUCAUAUUUGCUGGGAUCAAUUUCAUCCAACGAAUGCAGUGAAUGCUAUUCUUACCGAUAAUGUGUGGAGUGGCCUCCACACAACAAUGUGUUAUCCAAAGAAUUUGCAGGACGUGAUAAACUCCUGUGGCUGAAGGAUACUUUGGUCAGGCUUGAAGCUUACAACAACAUAUUCCAACAUAAUACUUGUUACCACUCAACCACUCCUCCAACAUAAUACUAUUUAUCAUUUCGAAUCGCUUAGCAACUUGUGGAACCAAGAGGGAGAGCUAUGGAGAGUCUGACGUUGAGGAACCACACAUGCCAAAUAUAUGUAAAGGAUUCAACAUAGAAUGAAAGAACAAAGUCCUUAGGAGGAAGAAGAUCCCAAAUAUUCAACCAGGGACAGAAAGAUGAACAAUAGAGGUGGUGAUUUCUCUAAACAUGGAACUAGACUUUUUUGUUUUGUUUUGUUUUUUUGUUUUUUGUUUUUUGUUUUUGUCUUCAUUAUUUGGUUGUAGACUACAAAUAUUUUGAACAUUGUUUUGUGCAUAAAAUUUUUGCUCUUAGUAAAACUGUAUUAGUUACUCGUGGUAAUAUCAUGUAAUAAAUAUUAUUCUGUAUUUGUGUUCUUGA